CUUGUUUUACAUAAGAGGUCCAGCCUGCCCGGUGACAAAGUUUAACGGCCGCGGUAACCUAACCGCGCGAAGGUAGCAUAAUCACUUGUUCUUUAAAUGGGGGCCAGUAUCAACGGCAUCACGAGGGUUACACUGUCUCCUCCCUCCAAUCAGUGAAACUGAUCUCCCCGUGAAAAAGCGGGGAUACAGAUAUUAGACGAGAAGACCCCAUGGAGCUUUAAACCCAACAGCAACUCAGUACCAUAACCCCCCAUAGCUCACAGAGAAAUGCACGUCGGUUUUAGGUUGGGGUGACCGCGGAGUAAAAACUAACCUCCACGACGAAAAGAACUAAAUCUUUAUCUAAGAGCUACCGCUCUAAGAAUUAGUAUACUAACGAACAAUGACCCAAUAAUUGAUCAACGAAACA
rnacentral:rRNA from 1 species